rnacentral:rRNA from 1 species
AAGGAAGCACACUUCGGUCAUAGAUUAAGCCAUGCAAGUCUCAGUUCAGGUAGCAAUACUGCGUAAAGCUCAUUAAUACACCCAGUACCUAUUUGACAGCGAUCAUUCGAUCUUACAUGCAUAGCAGCAGUAAUUCUGGUGCUAAUACAUGCGAUUGUCACACCUGAAUUGAUGCAAGGUGUCAAAGUUGACCUCACACGAGGCAUGUCAUAUGGUUGGGUGGCCUAUCAGCUAGUAAUUAGGGUCUUGACCUAGUUAGGCUAUAACGGGUAACGGGCGGUGAUCGUCGGACUGCCGGAGAAGGAGCCUGAGAGACAGCUACUAUCCCUACGGGAAGCAGCAGGCGCGAAACUUACCCAUUCGACAUUGUCGGAGGUGGUAAUGACCAGUUUCAUGCUGAACUUCGGUUCGUUGUGAAUAGAGUGAUACAUUGAACACAUCACGCAAUCUAGCAGAGGGCCAGUCUGGUGCCAGCAGCUGCGGUAAUUCCAGCUCUGCGAGUUUGCUCCCAUAUUGUUGCAGUUAAAAAGCCCGUAGUCUGAGGUCGGUUUGAUCAGGUCUACACACCGUCCAUUGCGAAUAAAUCAGUCUGCUUAGAGUUGCCACUAGGUGAAUGAUUAUGCGCAGUAUGGAACUUUUACCCUGCCUCGUGUAAGGUAAGUUCAAUGAGAGCCAUUGGGGGUAGUCAUAUUCUGUGGCGAGUGGUGGAAUACUUUGACCCAUGGGAGAUGAACGAAAGCGAAAGCAGCUACCUAGAGGGUUUCUGUCGAUCAAGGGCGAGAGUAGGGGUAGCGAACCGGAUUAGAGACCCGGGUAGUCCCUACUGUAAACAAUGUCGACGAGGGAUUGGUGUCAUUUUGGCAUCAGCACCCUAUCGAGAAAUCAUAGUUCUUGGACUCUGGGGGAACUACGAUCGCAAGACUGAAACUUGAAGGAAUUGACGGAAGGGCACACAAGGGGUGGAGCCUGUGGCUCAAUUUGAAUCAACACGGGGAAACUUACUAGAGCAAGAUGAUUAUGGUGACUGACAGUCUGCAGGGCUUUCAGGAUAUGUUUUUGGGUGGUGCAUGGCCGUUGGUGGUGCGUGGGUUGACCUGUCUAGCGUUGAUUCAGUUAACGAGCGAGAUUACCGCCGAUUACUCUAGGAGGCUGGAAUUACUCUCCUUCUUUUCCUUCUAAUCGGGACUGCCUGGUCAUUAACAGGAGGAAGGGGGUAGCAAUAACAGGUCCGUGAUGUCCUUUAGAUGCUCUAGGCUGCACGCGUGCUACAAUGUGUCUGUCAAUAGGUGUUUAGCAACCUUGAGAAAGUUAGCUACUCCUUUAAAUCAAAUACGUGGUUAGGAUUGGUCAUUGGAAUCAUGAACAUGAAUUAGGAAUCCCUUGUAAAUGUGCGUCAACAUCACACGUUGAAUACGUCCCUGCCCUUUGUACACACCGCCCGUCGCUCCUACCGAUUGGAUGACCUGGUGAAAAUAUCGGACUCCUUUACUGGGGAAAGGUAUUUAAAUCAUGUUAUCUAGAGGAAGGAGAAGUCGUAACAAGGUAAC